AUUGAACGCUGGCGGCAUGCCUUACACAUGCAAGUCGAACGGUAACAGGUCUUCGGAUGCUGACGAGUAGCGAACGGGUGAGUAAUACAUCGGAACGUGCCUAGUAGUGGGGGAUAACUACUCGAAAGAGUGGCUAAUACCGCAUGAGAUCUACGGAUGAAAGCAGGGGAUCGCAAGACCUUGUGCUACUAGAGCGGCCGAUGGCAGAUUAGGUAGUUGGUGGGAUAAAAGCUUACCAAGCCGACGAUCUGUAGCUGGUCUGAGAGGACGAUCAGCCACUCUGGGACUGAGACACGGCCCAGACUCCUACGGGAGGCAGCAGUGGGGAAUUUUGGACAAUGGGCGAAAGCCUGAUCCAGCAAUGCCGCGUGCAGGAUGAAGGCCUUCGGGUUGUAAACUGCUUUUGUACGGAACGAAAAGCCCCGGGUUAAUACCCUGGGGUCAUGACGGUACCGUAAGAAUAAGCACCGGCUAACUACGUGCCAGCAGCCGCCGUAA
rnacentral:rRNA from 1 species